rnacentral:lncRNA from 1 species
UGUCGGUGUCGGUAGCCUCUGUCGAGGUGGAAGGUUAGUCCGAUCUAAUUCCGAGAUUUGACUGACUACUGCGUGAGAAGUAUUCCUGAAACAAUAGCGAAGGUGCAAACGUCUCUCCUCCUGGAGCAAGGCUUAUUACGUCGAGGGUGCCUCUUCUUGACGAGGUCAAGAUUCCUGUGAUACUGGAGUUAAGAAGAUUUUGAGAUGGAUUAAUGUGUAAUAGAAAGAUAGAUAAUAUAACCUGAUGCAACAUCAACCCCCUCUUUGGAAUCGAAACGCCCUGUGACCGUAAGCCGUCAUGGAAUAUGACGGAUUUUUGUUCCAUACCAUCGUCAAUCGAUCAUAAGAUCGAUUGGGUGCAUCAUGAUUAGUCCCAGAAAUCACCAUUACAGCAAAUCCUCACCCGUUAAGCCAAUCAUUAAUUAAUUUACGAUUGGUGGGACAUGCAGUGGUCCUGCUCUCAUUGAUUCUUAAUUCAAUGUAACCGUUAUUAUUAAAUAUCUUAUUUAAUAAUAAUAUAAUCGUUCUCAUUCAAAUUCAUAAUUCAUUAUUAUUAAUUUUUUUAUUUAUUAUGGUUUAAAUGAUUUCAGUUUUUUAUUCAUUAUACAUGAAAUUAUUAUUAUUAAAUUAAAUAUUUAAUGUCAUUAAAAUUCUUUAUUAUAAUCCAAACGUUAUAAAUUUGAAUUAAUUCUUGAACAUUAUGAGUUGGUGAUAAUAAAUAUUCUUGAUGAGAGAACAUCUAUAUAUAUGAGAAUUUUGGUCCUUGGGCUUAAUCAUUUCUUUAAAAUUUCCUACACCAUCUAAAGCAAGAGUUUUGAGCCGAGAAAUGCCAAAGUUCAAGAAGAAACCUCUGCAAAAAUUCUUGACAACAAUGGCUGGAGAUACGCUACUUUGUUUCCGCAUCAGUUUUUAUUGUGUUUCUAUUAUAAUGAUUUAGAAACACAAGUUGGCUUCAAUGAUUUCUUACAUUUGGUAUCAGAGCCUUUUGACCUCUGCCUUGAUACGAAAUAGUUUUCAUUUCUUUUUGUCAUGAAAAUGAUUUGAUUUUGGUUUCUUCUUGGAAACUUCUUGAUAUAUUUUGUUGAAAAUCAUGAGGAAAUAUCAUUUUCAAUAUUUUAGUUGAUAAAAUGUUCAUAUUAUGUAUGCAUAUUUAGUUAUAUAAAAUUAUGCUUAUGAGUCAAUUUUUUAUGUUUAAAAUGUCUAGUGAUCCAUAUAAUCUUAAUUAAUUAAAAAUUAGUCACAGCAUCCUUAAUUAAUUAAAAUUAUAUAUAAAGUUAAAAAUAAGGAUCACAUAAGUAAUUAGAUAUCAUAUUGUGACUGAUUAUAUUUCAUAUAAUAAUUAUUAUCUCAUAGGAUCUUUUAUUAUAUUUAAUAUAAUUAAUCAAGAUAAAAUAUCAUAUUAUUUUUAUAAUUUACCCAUAGGGAUUAUGAAUUGAAAUAUAAUUUGAUAGUUUUAUCAUAAAGACCAUUUGAAUCUAUUUGAAUUAAGAAUUUAGCCCACAGGCAAUUUUUAUGUCAUGAGAUUCAUAUUUUUUGGCAUGUUUCACAUUAGUAAAACAUGUAAUUUAGACUAUUAAACUUCAAAUUUUAACAUAAGCAUGUAAUUUUCAAUCGGCUCAGCGUGAUAUUUAUCAAAACUAAGAUAACUGCUAGCAUACGUGGUUCUGUUGACCAGCAUAAAAAUGUCCGAGACUUGCUAAAAUCUAGUACGUGAGCAUAUAAUACAAAUGCGAGAUAUUGUGGCUCAACUUAAGAAACUCGAUAUUAAUAUGUCAAAAUCCGUCCUGAUGUACUAUAUUCUGAACACCCUUCUACCUCAAUAUGACCCUUUUAAAAUUUCAUACAAUACACAUAAGAACAAAUGAUCAAUCAAUGAAUUAAUGAUCAUGUGUGUUCAAGAAGAAGAGAGGCUAAUGAUGGAAUUGGGUGAGAGUGCAUUUGUGGUAACCACUCACGGAAAGAACAAAACUAACAAACAUCAAACCAAUCAGAAAGCUCAUCAGUAGGUAAAAGGUAAAAUACCACCCCAAGCUGAUAUCAAGAAAGAAGCAAGAUGUUUCUUUUGUAAAUGAGAGGGACACAUGAAGAAGGAAUGCAUGAAAUUCUAAUAAUGGCUUAAAAAGAAAGGUAAACCAACCUCAUUUGUAUGUUAUGAAUUUAAUAUGGUCAAUAUUAAUAUUAACACCUAGUAGAUUGACUCUGGAUCAACAAUUCAUAUUACAAACUCUUUACAGGGCAUUCAAAACCUAAGGAAGUCAGUGGGAAGUGAGCAAAGCAUCUUAUCAGGAAAUAAUGACUUAAAAAGAAAGGUAAACCAACCUCAUUUGUGUGUUAUGAAUUUAUUAUGGUUAAUAUUAAUAUUAACACAUAGUAGAAUGACUCUGGAUCAACAAUUCAUAUUACAAACUCUUUACAGGACAUUCAAAACCUAAGGAAGUCAGUGGGAAGUGAGCAAAGCAUCUUAUCAGGAAAUAAGAUGGGCUCACAUAUGGAGGCAAUUGGAACAUGCAUUUUAACUUUAAGUAGUGGUUUUGUUUUAAAAUUGGAAAUGACCUUUUAUGUACCAAGUUUCUUACGAAACUUAAUUUCUGUUUCCAGACUCGUACCAUUUGGGUAUUCCUUUAAUUUUAAAGACAUAUUAUUUCGUUUAUUAUAUAAAUCUGGUUGUAUUGGGAAUGGUAUUUUGUCUGAUGGUCUUUACUGUAUUUUAUUAUAAAGUGAUAAUACUCAAAAUUCAAUGCAUAUUCACGCUGGCAUUAAGAGGUGCAAUAUUAAUGAGGNNNNNNNNNNNNNNNNNNNNAAACUUAAUUUCUGUUUCCAGACUCGUACCAUUUGGGUAUUCCUUUAAUUUUAAAGACAUAUUAUUUCGUUUAUUAUAUAAAUCUGGUUGUAUUGGGAAUGGUAUUUUGUCUGAUGGUCUUUACUGUAUUUUAUUAUAAAGUGAUAAUACUCAAAAUUCAAUGCAUAUUCACGCUGGCAUUAAGAGGUGCAAUAUUAAUGAGGACUCCUCUAUAUUAUGGCAUCGGAGAUUAGGACAUAUCUUCAUAGAGAGAAUUAAGAGAUUAUUUUAAAAUGGGGUACUUAGUACUCUUGAUUUUACUAAUUUUAAGACUUGUGUGGACUGUAUUAAGGGAAAGCAGACCAAUAAGUCCAAAAAGGGUGCUAAUAGGAGUUCAGACUUAUUAGAGAUAAUUCAUACUAAUAUAUGUUGUCCAGACAUAGACAUACAUGGUCUAAAAUAUUUCAUCUCUUUUAUAGAUGAUUACUCAUGAUAUAUGUAUAUAUAUUUGCUUCAUAACAAAAAUGAAGCAUUGGAUGUCUUCAAAGUCUUUAAGGCUAAAGUUGAGAAUCAAUGUGGUAAGCAAAUUAAAAUUGUGAGAUCAGAUAGAGGUGGAGAAUAUUAUGGUAGAUAUACUGAAAAUGGACAAGCACCUGGUCCUUUUGCUAAGUUUCUUCAAGAACAUGGGAUUGUUGCUCAAUACAUUAUGCCUAGUUCUUUAUAACAGAAUGGUUUUGCAUAAAGAAGAAACCGAACAUUAUUAGACAUGGUGCGGAGUAUGCUUAGCAACUCCAAUCUUCCUAAGUUCUUGUGGACUGAAGCACUAAAGACGACUAUGUAUAUAUUAAAGCGAGUUCCAACUAAGGUUGUCAAAAAGACACCAUUUAAAUUAUGAAAAUAUUGAAAACCGAGUUUGCGACAUAUGCGCGUUUGGGGAUGUCCAUCUGAAGUCAGGAUAUAUAAUCCACAAGAGAAUAAACUGGAUCUGAGAACUAUUAGUAGGUAUUUCAUUGCAUAUGCCGAAAAGUCUAAAGGUUACAAUUUCUAUUGUUCAUCUCACACAACUAGGAUUGUGGAAUCAAGAAAUGCUAAAUUUCUUAAGAAUGAUGUGAUUAGUGGGAGCGAUCAUUUCAGGAACAUAGUUUCUACACAUGAUCAUAUAUAAUCUCAACCUUCCACAUCAAAUGAUAGAUUGAUUAUAGUUCAUAGCACUCUUGAAGUACAAACUAGUGCUGAACAACCAAUCAUUGAAAUUUCACAAGUUGUUGAUAGUAUUCUAAUAGAUCAAGUAGUUCAGGAAUUACAACAAGCUCCUGAACAAAAGCUCCUGAACUACUAAUUGAACCACAAGUUCCACAUUACAACAUUAAGAAGAUCUACUAGAAAUAAAAGAUUAACAAUUCCUAAUGAUUAUGUUGUAUAUCUACAAGAAUCUGACUAUAAUAUUGGAGCCAAAAAUGAUCCUGAAAUAUUUUCACAAGCCAUGAGUUGCAAAGAAUCAAAUUUGUGGCAUGAUGCUAUGAAAGAAGAGAUGAAUUCCAUGAUGAGCAAUGGAGUCUAGGAUCUUGUAGAGUUGCCUAAUGAAGUAAAGGCUAUUGGUUGCAAAUGGGUCUUUAAAACUAAGAAAGAAUCGUUAGGCAACAUUGAGAGAUACAAAGCAAGACUUAUUACAAAGGGAUUUACUCAAAAGGAGGGAAUCGAUUAUACAAAGAUGUUUUCUCCUAUAUCUAAGAAAGAUUCUCUGCGUAUUAUUUUGACAUUAGUUGCUCAUUUUGACCUUAAGUUACAACAAAUGGAUGUGAAAAUAAUAUUUCUUAAUGGAGAUCUAGAGGAAGAGGUUUAUAUGAAACAACCCGAAGGUUUCUCCUCUAGUGUUGGUGAGCACUUGGUUUGCAAGUUUAGGAAGUCUGUAUACGGCUUAAAACAAGCCUCCUGCCAAUGGUAUUUUAAAUUCUAUGAAGUGAUUUCUUCAUUUGGAUUUGUUGAAAAUCUCAUGGAUCAAUGCAUAUACCAGAAGGUUAGUGGGAGUAAAAUAUGUUUCCUUGUUUUAUACGUAGAUGAUAUUUUGCUUGCAACCAACGAUAAGGAUUUGCUGAGAUAAAAUAAUUCCUUUCUAAAAAUUUUGACAUGAAAGAUAUGGGUGAAGCAUCUUAUGUCAUUGGCAUUAAGAUCCAUAGAGAUAGACCUCGAGGUAUUUUAGGUCUAUCAUAAGAAACCUAUAUCGAUAAACUUUUAGAAAGAUUUCGGAUGAAGGAUUGUUCAUCAAUGUUGCUCCUAUUAUGAAAAGUGAUAGGUUCAAUUUGAACCAAUGUCCAAAGAACAACCUUGAAAGGGAAUCAAUGAAAAACAUUUUAUAUAUUUCUGCUAUAGGAAGCCUUAUGUAUGCUCAGGUUUAUACUAGACCUGAUAUUGUAUUUAUUGUGGGGAUGCUAGGUCGAUAUCAGAGUAAUCCAGGUAUGGACUACUAGAGAGCUGCAAAGAAAGUGAUGAGGUAUCUACAAGGAACCAAAUAUUACAUACUUAUGUAUAGACAUAUAGACAAUCUGGAUGUGAUUGAUUACUCAGAUUCAGACUUCGUUGGUUUGUGUUGAUUCUCGUAAAUCAACAUCAAUGACCGGUGGAGCUAUUUCUUGGAGAAGCACCAAGCAGACCUUGACUGCUACUUCUACCAUGGAAGUUGAGUUCGUCUCCUGUUUUGAGGCUACUUCACAUGGUGUAUGGCUUAAAAUCAUGGAUUCUAUUUCUAGGCCAUUAAGAAUUUUCUGUGAUAAUUCAACUGUUGUCUUUAUGGCUAAAAAUAAUAAAAGUGAAAGUCGAAGCAAACACAUCGACAUUAAGUAUUUAGCCUUAAGAGAAUGUGUAAAAGAAAAGAAAGUGGUCAUUGAGCAUAUUAGUACUGAAUUGAUGAUUUCUGAUCCUUUGACUAAAGAUAUGCCACCUCUGAAAUUCAAGAAUCAUGUAGAGAAAAUGGGACUUGGUUCCACUUUGUAAUGAUAUUGAAACUCUUAUAUAUUAUGAUAUUUUCUUAUUCAUGUGCAUAUUAUUUUGAGAAAAUAUAUUGUUAUUGGACCAAGAAUAAACAUAAGAUUUAUUCAUUAAGUAAUAUUACCACAUUGAGAUUAAGAAACUAAAUACAUCAUAAUACAUGAAUGAUAAUACUCGUUUUUAGAGGACUUAUCGCUAUGAUUCAUGUAUUUAUUUGUUAAGAAAGUUGUUGGAGAAAGAUUAAUUCAAAUUAUUAAGAUAAACGUAUGGAUCAAAGUGGGAGAAUGUAAUUGUUAUUAUUAAAUAUCUUAUUUAAUAAUAAUAUAACCGUUCUCAUUAAUAUUCAUAAUUUAUUAUCAUGAAUUUCUUCAUUUAUUAUGGUUUAAAUGAUUUCAAUUUUUUAUUCAUUAUACAUGAAACCGUUAUUAUUAAAUUAAAUAUUUAAUAUCAUUAAAAUUUUUUAUUAGGAUCCAAACGUUAUAAAUUCGAAUUAAUUCUNNNNNNNNNNNNNNNNNNNNNNNNNNNNNNNNNNNNNNNNNNNNNNNNNNNNNNNNNNNNNNNNNNNNNNNNNNNNNNNNNNNNNNNNNNNNNNNNNNNNNNNNNNNNNNNNNNNNNNNNNNNNNNNNNNNNNNNNNNNNNNNNNNNNNNNNNNNNNNNNNNNNNNNNNNNNNNNNNNNNNNNNNNNNNNNNNNNNNNNNNNNNNNNNNNNNNNNNNNNNNNNNNNNNNNNNNNNNNNNNNNNNNNNNNNNNNNNNNNNNNNNNNNNNNNNNNNNNNNNNNNNNNNNNNNNNNNNNNNNNNNNNNNNNNNNNNNNNNNNNNNNNNNNNNNNNNNNNNNNNNNNNNNNNNNNNNNNNNNNNNNNNNNNNNNNNNNNNNNNNNNNNNNNNNNNNNNNNNNNNNNNNNNNNNNNNNNNNNNNNNNNNNNNNNNNNNNNNNNNNNNNNNNNNNNNNNNNNNNNNNNNNNNNNNNNNNNNNNNNNNNNNNNNNNNNNNNNNNNNNNNNNNNNNNNNNNNNNNNNNNNNNNNNNNNNNNNNNNNNNNNNNNNNNNNNNNNNNNNNNNNNNNNNNNNNNNNNNNNNNNNNNNNNNNNNNNNNNNNNNNNNNNNNNNNNNNNNNNNNNNNNNNNNNNNNNNNNNNNNNNNNNNNNNNNNNNNNNNNNNNNNNNNNNNNNNNNNNNNNNNNNNNNNNNNNNNNNNNNNNNNNNNNNNNNNNNNNNNNNNNNNNNNNNNNNNNNNNNNNNNNNNNNNNNNNNNNNNNNNNNNNNNNNNNNNNNNNNNNNNNNNNNNNNNNNNNNNNNNNNNNNNNNNNNNNNNNNNNNNNNNNNNNNNNNNNNNNNNNNNNNNNNNNNNNNNNNNNNNNNNNNNNNNNNNNNNNNNNNNNNNNNNNNNNNNNNNNNNNNNNNNNNNNNNNNNNNNNNNNNNNNNNNNNNNNNNNNNNNNNNNNNNNNNNNNNNNNNNNNNNNNNNNNNNNNNNNNNNNNNNNNNNNNNNNNNNNNNNNNNNNNNNNNNNNNNNNNNNNNNNNNNNNNNNNNNNNNNNNNNNNNNNNNNNNNNNNNNNNNNNNNNNNNNNNNNNNNNNNNNNNNNNNNNNNNNNNNNNNNNNNNNNNNNNNNNNNAAAAAAGAUUUUCGUAUCAAUUUUUAUUGUGUUUCUAUUAUAAUAAUUUAGAAACACAAGUUAACUUCAAUUAUUUCUAGUAGACAGCACCCAUGAUGCAAUGGCACAGACAGCUUUGCAGCCAUGUAAUGUGUAUCUCUGAAGCGUUACAGCAAAUGACCAAAACCACAAACAAUUAAACGACGUUCCUAAAAAAGACCAAUUCUCACAGUUUAAGACAAAUAUAAUAAUAAUAAUACAUGACAUGGUAAACGAUUUAGGUAGACAAAUUGUUUCUUUAACUAACUAAACAUUUCUCUUCGAGUUUGUGCUCUCUCUUCUCACACUUCCUUUCUGGCCCCCGUCAAUUACCUCUUCGACGAUGGGCUCAACCAUUGUAUCCACGUUCUUGACUACUCCAUCAACCUAGAGACAUAAUAUACCACCACAUAAUGGACCAUGUCACACUCUUGCGUGCAUCCAAGAAAGAAACGUGUUAGAUCAUAUAAAUUACCUUCUCGAUCAAGGUUUCUGCGAGUUCUGCAUCCUUGAUCACGACUUCAGCAACGUGCUCCACCUCCAAAGCUAUCUUCUUUAGCUCCGAAUUCUCCGGCAGCACCUCGGCCACCUCCAACGAUACCUUUUCGGUCACCUCAGCCACCUUCUCCACCACCCCAAGUAUCGCCUCCGCCGUCUUCUCCGCUUUCUCUGACACACACGGUUUAGUUACUGUGAGCCGGAGAAGUUUGUGAGAUGUGAAUAAUCAUGUCAACCUUUCUUUCAAGUCCCGCAUGCGUUACCUUCGAUCCCUAAAACCUUCCUGUAGAACGGUAAAGCCAAGAGGACUACCGAGCCCAGAGCCCAUCUCGCCCUGCAGGAAUCACAAAAGCUUACAAGUGGAGAAAAGAAGAACAUGUAUCCGCAGCCAUUGUCCAAGGCAACGAUGAUCGAUACCAUAUGGGUAUGUCUGGGAACGGAAGAUUAGGUAGGCCUGGAACACCGUCAGAUCUCUUUUUCCUGCAGAGUUGGCAUCAAUGAAUCAUCACGCUACGGGAAAAAAAAAAAAAAAAAGGAAGAAGAACGGUGAUGAUGUUGACGGAGCGCGUACUUGGCGUCUUCGUUGGCCGGCGCAGCAUCGUCGUCGCUGCCGGCGGGGGCUGGAGGUUGCGUCGCCGCCCGGACAACCACCGCCCGGUGUGCAUGGAAGAAGGUGCAGAAGCCGAUGACGCGGUAGGAAACGGCGAGGCGACGGUGAGCGGUGUAGACGGGGAAGUGGGGGCUGGAGGGCAUGGGAGAGAAGAGGGAACCCGCCAUUGUUGUCCCGAUCGCCUUCUUCGCUUGGGCGCAGGAAGAUGUAGGAUGUUCGAUGAGCAUAUUUCAGUCAUGUGUGUAGAGCUCUUAUACACAUACAAGAAGGAGAAGGAGAAGGAGACCAAUAAUGCAACAUGCAACACGUUUGACCGAGUGAAGCAGCCACAAUAAUUGACGCUGAAGAUAAUGAUUUGAUGAUUAAAAAUCUCUCAAAAAAAUUAAAGAUGUUUGGGAAAAAGGCUUAUAUAAAUAAUAAAUACAUAAGUCUGAAAAAUGAGUUUGAAUUUUAAAACAUUUAUCAUGCAAAGAUAUCCAUAAUAUUCUUAUAUUCCUGACUAUAAAAUGACUGUCACCCAAAAAAGAUCACUUGCAAGGCUAUCUAUGUACGUAAGAUUUAAAAUAUUAGAAAAAUAAUUACAAAAAUCAUUGUGAUCUGUAGGAUCUUUGUUUUUUUUUUCCUGCAUGCAAAUCACAUGCGAAGCCUACAAUAAGUGAUCUGACGACGUGUGGCCUACAAAAGCAUAACCUUUCACAGGAGGAGUUAAUGUGAAGAAGACGGGAAUUGAAUGCAUCGAAUAGACAAAAGCUGCAUAUUCCAGCAGUUUGGCUGAACCCUAAUGACCAUAAGACAACUCACAUGUGGUUGGGUUAUAUAAUAAUAGUGGGGUUAGCGUGUGGGUGUAGGAAACCCACUAUGACACAAAAACGAGCAUCGCCAAUUUUAAAUUGGGGUCUUCUAUAUAAUGUAACGUAGCAUAUUAUAUAUAUCUAACAUGGGUUGUUGAUAUAUGCUACCGAGUGUAUGAAUUGGAAAGGUGGGAAGAGAUGAGAUACUUUGUGAAUUAUUAUUAUUAUUAUUAUUGCGACGUAUAUAUUUUGGCAAGAGAAAUAUAACUAUGAUAUGCAAGCCUAUGAACAACUCAGUUGAGUCCAAAUACUAGAUUUAAGGUGGAUGACCAAUAUAAAGAUGUGAAAUUAACAGGAUUUAAAGGUUACAUGAUUUCAAGAAACUACAUAUAUGAUUUUAAUUUCCGCACAUUGGUUCUAAAUUAUGGAAUGAAAAUGCCCUUCUUAGGUAGCGUUAGACGAGAUUCCACAUAUGUGAAAUCGAAAUAAAAAAAUUUAAAUGAUUCUACCAAGAUUUAAAUCUGGGUCUAACUACUAUAAAAUAAAAUUCACUUUUUUUUCUUUUUUUAGUAAGUUCAAAGUUGAACAAAAAUUAUUUUUUUAAAAAUUAAUAUUAUCAGAAAAAAAAAGUCAUUGACAUUUUGGUCAGUCCGACGUAGUCUGAACCCAUAUUCGUAAGAUUGUCCAAUGUGCCUCCGAAGUGGAAGCAUCGAGCUCUCGAGGUGUUUUCUGCAUGAACAUCGAGGUCGAGAGAGGUUUCUUGACACGAACCCUCCGAUACUCAAAUAGUAACCUAAAAUGAAUGCAGGCAUAAAUAGUCAAAAGAAGUUAGGAAAAGACCCCCUGUUAUUACGUUGGAUAUGCACUUUUAUACCUGGCCUUAGAAGAGGACAACCUCUAACCACCCUAACAUCCUCUUCUUGGUGUUUUGUCCACAUGGGUGACUAAGGGAGGAGACAACCUCAUAUUGCCUUUCUUAGACUUUUGUCCAUACGAGCAGAUAGGUGGGAGAUGAUUUGGAUCUUUUCCUUCCACCAAGGACUUCACGUGGCGGCCACGUGUCAGAUGGUGAUUGACUGAUAGUAUAUUCCCUAUCAUUUAUCUUUCCCUAAGUGUGCUUAGGGGGCUCUUGCUAGAGGAGUCUGAAGUGUGGUGUUUAGUUCAUCCGAUACAAGUGCGUUCGGGAUCUCCUCAUGCGGGUUGGAUUUCCCGACUCAUAUGCCUUGGCUACAUUAGCCAUAUGACUAUACUAUAGUAGAUUCUUUUUUCGUGAGUCGGGUUUUCCUAAUUUACAUGCCUUGGGCACAUUUGGUCUUGCGCCUCCAUGUGAUGGAUUUCCCUUCACCUGGGUUAGGUUUUCUUGACUCAUGCACCUUAGGCACAUUUGACCUUAUACAUAUACCAUGGCAUAUUUCUCCUUACGCAAGUCAGGUUUUCCUGACUCAUAUGCAUUAGACAUAUUUUACCUUAUGUCUCCACCGUGUGGAUUUAUCCUCAUGUGGGUUCGGGUUUUCAAACUCAUAUGCAUCGGGCACAUUUGGUCUUGCGUUUUCACUGUGGUAGAUUUUUCUUUAUAUGGGUUGGGUUUUCAUGACUCAUGCAUCUUGGGCAUAUUUGACCUUUUGCCUCUACUGUGGUAUAUUUAUCCUUAUGCUGAUCGAGUUUUUCCUACUCACAUGCCUCAAACAUAUUUUACUUUGCGCCUCCGUCGUAAUAAAUUUCUCCUCAUGCGAGUCGAGUUUUUUGAACUUAUGUGCCUGAAGCACAUUUGAUCUUGUGCCUUUGUUGUGAUGGAUUUUAAAGGAAGACGUAUGUAAAUAUAUAGUUUAAAUAACACAUAUAAAUAAUACCCAAAAUUAUUUAGGAUGGUGUAACAUGAAGAUGGUCGCUAAUAGCAUCAUGAUCAAUUGUUGCCAUGUUGUUGGAAGAAAAAAACAAUAAUGUAAUCGACCGUAAAUUGUGAAUAUAUUACAUACAUAAAAUAAUGACAUCCAAUCCCGUCUCAGUAAUAUUAGAAAAAAAAAUUUCGAUUAAUUUUUAGUAGUCAAUGUAUGCCAUGUGCUUAUACGAGUAGGAAAACUAUUGACUUCACGUGAUGCAUGUGAUCUUAGCACAUUUUGUGGUGUUGUAUUUCUUAUGAAUGCCCAUUCAAAUGACUGAAUUAUACGACAGGCUGUAAGUAUAUAUUUAUCAUUUUAUGUCAUAAAUGUAAAGAUAUUUAGAUAAUUUAUCGGAAAAAAAAAUAUACUAUUUGAGUUUGUACGGAAAUGUCAUCUCCUAUUCAUUUUUACCUACGGAUGUCAUUAUUCUCUAAUUUGACUAAAAUAAUGAUAUCUUAAAAUGCUUGAAUCAAAUUCUUUUUUUUUUUACCACCCUCCUCCUCGUUUGUUUCCUCUCACUCUUUUUAUCUUUCCAUCAUCGACUUCCUUAUGCUUCUUCUUCUCAUCUUUCGUGUCCUCUUCGACCUCCUGCCUCCUCCUCUCGUCUUUGUCUUCUAAAAAUAUUUCUAAAAUUUAUAAUAUUUUUAAAUAUAUGAAUAAAUAUUGUAAUCAUAUCGAUGUACAAGUUAAAAGUGUUUUAAAUAUAUUUCACCAAAAUAUACUGGAUUUGAUUUGAACCAUAGUCGAUUGUAGAAUCUCAAUUGUAUAGGUUUUGCGAACGAUUAUUAUUUUUAUUUAUUUUCGAGUAUAAUAGGCUCAAGUAGUAAUUUAUGUCAACUUUCACCAUCCUACUAGGAUCUCAUUAUAACAUUAUUAAUAAUAUUUUCUAUAUUUUUAGAGAAUUUUAGGAUAAUUAAUUGUUAAAAUCUAAUUUUUUUAAUUAAGUUCUAUAAAUGAGUAUGUUUUAGUUUAUUUUCUAGUAUAAAAUAGUUAACUUUAACCAAAUCAUAUCAAACAUUAACUAAUCUACAAGGUUAUUAUUUUAACAUAAUUAGUUAUAUAUUUUAUAUUUUAAGAUGAUUUUAUGAUAAUUAAUUAUCAAAAUUUAGAUUUUUUAUAUAGAUUCUAUAAAUGAGUAUAUUUUAAUUUAUUUUAGAGUCUAAUAGGUUCAACUUCAACAAAUCAUAUCAAACUUUCACCAAUAUACUAAGAUAUUAUUCUAACAUCAUUAAUAUAUAUUUAUUUUUUUAAAAAAUAAAGAUAAUUUAUCAUCAAAAUUUAGAUUAUUUUUGAUAAAUUAGUGUAUUUUAGCUUAUUUCCGAGUGUGAUAGUAUCAACAUAAACCAAAUCAUCUCAAACUUUCACCAGUCUACUAUCAUAUUAUUUUAACAUCAGCAGUAAUAUUUUUUUUGAAAAAAUAUUUUAAAAUAAUUAAUUAUCAAAAGUUUGAAUUUUGUUUUAUAAGCAUAUGCAUUUUAGUUUAUUUCAGAGUAUAAUUAGGUCAACUUUGACCAUACCAUCUCAAAAUUUUACCCCUCUACUAGGAUAUGACUAUAACAUCAUUAAUAAUAUUUUUUAAAAAAAAUAUAUAAUUUUAUGACAAUUAAUUAUCAAAAAAAUAAUUUUUUUAAUAUAAAUUCUAUGAAUAGAUAUCAUUUUCAGGUGUAAGAGAGUCAACUUAAAUCAAACCAUCUCAAGUUUUCAGAACAUUAUUCUAACAAUUAAUAAUAAUAUAUAUAUUUUUAUUUUUAGAUAAUUUUAAGAUAAUUAAUUAUAAAAAAAUUAUGCUUUUUUAGAUGAAUACUAUGAACGAGUUUAUUUUAAUUCAUUUUUAAGUAUAAUAAUAGGGUUAAUUUCGACCAAACCAUCUUAUAAAUGUGGUCCCAAAAAAAAAAAUUGUGAACCCACAAAUUUUCGAAAAAAAAUAUAAAUCUUAUUCCAAUUACUUAUGAAUUAAUUUUAAUCAGUCAGGUAUUAAGGUCGGUCAGAGGUGAUUUGCCAACUGGAUUCGAAGUAGUAAUUGUGUUAUGCUAAAUGUAUCUUUAGAACUUAAUUAAUGGAUAUCUUAAUCCAAACUUAAUUAAUUCUAAAAAUAGAUUUAGAAUUGGAAUUGGAGGAUCAAUGAGCUUUCAAACUCAUGAUUUAUUAGGUUGGAUCGAUGCCAUUUCCGAUCUGUAGUAUGAUUAAAGCCGGCUUAAUAAGACUCAGAUCACAAUGCAUUAAGCUAUCUUCUUCAAUUCACCUAAUUUGGUGGGUGUCGGCCAUAACGCCUAAUUGGCUUACCACAUAAUGAAUUAGAUUCGUGUCGCUGUCGGUAUGGUGGUGAGCAAUUCAUUACGCAGUGCGAUCUGUAUCGGGUUUGGUUGCAUCGAGUUGUUGUGCGUCCCUCUCGCUACCCAAACCGAUUAAUGUCUUCUGUCUCUGUAGAUUUCCGCGCUCUGUUGACUGCAGCGAGACUUGCAAGGAGCAGAAGCGCGGGUUGAGAGGAAUCGAAGCCGGUGAUGGCCGUCCGGCCUAAUCGCCUCCUCUUUCGGGCGCCAAACGCCUCCUCCUUAUGUGGAUUCAUGGAGUUGUGCACCCCUCCCCCGCCGCCACCCUCUCCUCCAUCUUCCCCGGGCCCCCCGACCACCAUCCGGUUCCACCACUCCUCCCUCCUCCCCGCCCUCCCCAUCUCCGCCGCCUUCCUCAUCGCCGCCGCCGUCCUCGUUCUCGUCCUCGCCUACUUCGUCUUUCGCCGCCGCCACCACCGCCGCACGGCAGCCCCCGACGUACCCCUCGCCGGUGGACCCCUUGAGGAGGACGGUGGCGGCGACGGCGACGAGGUGAUCCACCAUGUCUGGUACAUCAGGACCGUUGGCCUCGACGAGUCAACCAUCCGGGCCAUCUCCGCGUUGGCGUACAAGGCCGCGGAUGGCGUCCUCGGCGCCUCGGCCUCCGACUGCGCUGUUUGCCUCUCCGAGUUCCGCGAGGACGAGCUCGUUCGCCUCCUUCCCAAGUGCGGCCACGCCUUCCACCUCGGCUGUAUCGACACUUGGCUUCGAUCCCACGUCAAUUGCCCCCUGUGCCGUGCGCCCGUCGUAGUCUCGACCUCCGCAGCCAGCAGUGGCGGUACUGGAACAAGUACCCAUUCUUCUUCUUCUUCUUCUUCUUCCUCCUCCUCCUCCUUCUCCUCCUCCUCCUCCUCCGCCCCUUCAUCCCACCCUGAGUUUAUCCCAGAUCACGUGGACCCCAAUAAUCUCUCCUCGGCCGUAGCGGACAGCGAGCAGAUCAAUGGCCGGCAAUCAGAAUCUGCUCAAGGCGCCUUGGAAGAGGAACCGGAGGUCGAAAGAUUGGAACUUGGAGCUGGAAACCGAACUGUGGUCUUCCCGCUCACGAGCUCUGAGCAGCGAGUGACUGUUGAUAUUGGGGAAAAUGGGUUUCAGCCCAUCCGGCGAUCGAUUUCUAUGGAUUCAUUUACUUGUUCUUCUUCUAUAUAUGGAUUGGAGUCUGAUGAGGAUCUCAGCAAUAACAGGAAGAAAACCUCCUUAGAAGAAGAAGUGUGGGAUGAUAGAACCAGGAGAAAGCAAUGGAAUUUUUCCAGUGGCGCUUCUUUGCGCAAGGAAACAGAAAGAUCUUUAUCGAGCAUUAGUGGGAGCUUCUUCUUGUCAAGACAAGGCCGAGCUCGGCGCUCCCUUCUGCCGCUGUAAUGGUUCUAUAACUUCAGUUUAUUGCCGAGUUCACCAUAUAGCACAUUUUGUACAUACCAGUGGUUCUCAUCAAGUUGGGAGCUGCAUUUCACCAUCAUAUAUCUGCGUUUGUAAAGUGAAAAAUUACAGCAGCAAACUUGUGAUGAAUGCUACAUCGGUUAAAGGCUGAAAGGUAGAGUUUUGGGUUGAUUUCAUGGCAUGGCAAAACAAAUGGAUGAUAAGACUUGGUAUGUAGAGCUUCUGCUUGGGUUAUAUGUGGUCAUAAUUUCAUAUAUAGUUUCAGCAUGUAAAGAACUUUACUCUGAUGUAGUAUGCCAAUCGAUCAACUUGGAUUUGUUGGCCUUCUUUUUAUGCUUUCAUCUUCCUAUAUCUGGCUCAUGCAAUUUUGCCAAUAGUUGUGGUUGUUUGAAUGAUAGAAGUUACUGAUGCAUAUGAAGGCUAUUUCUUUUUCCUUCUCAAAUUAAAGCAGGUAAAUGUUGAAGUGUGCAGCAUAUAAUUUUAAGUUGAAUGAGAAUCUUCAUGACGGUAUCCGAUUAAUUUCUACAUAAGAGUGCUGCAUGAUAGCGUGAUUUCCUAAAUGAAAGGAAUAAUGCUUCAAGUUGAAUCUUCUUGACCUUUUAUGGCUUUCUCUCAUCCUUGUUUCUGCUUUCAUGCUGAAGAAGUUGAGUCCCAUCAAGAGUCUGCUUUCUUGUGGUAUUAUUAGAUUAAGACAUUGUCCUAUCAGGGAAACAUGAGAUAUUAGAUGCAUAAUCUGCAUAGAUUAUUGUUAUCGGAUAGCAUACUAUUGUCCAAGUGCAAAUGUUGCUUGUCUCUUAGGUUUUCAGUAUUUGGAGUGACUUCUUAGUUUCCUUUGAACUCUCUGCUAUUUCUAAUUUGCCGAUAACUUUCAGUGGCGUGUCAUCUGCAAGAACUUCCCCUACAAGUGCUCAUUCACAGAGUGGCUGCUUUAUCUUUUCUUUCUGUCAACUGUCUGGAAAAUCUGCUCUGAUCUGAACUUUUUUGUGGAUACUUCACUUUCGUGUUAAAUCAGAGCAACACACAAGUUUAGUCUUUGAAGUGAUAUUUUUGGAUCUUGGCUUGCAAAAAGACUUAUAUGAGUGCUUGCAGUCUCCUUUUGUUUUUACUAUCUUGUUAGAUCAUUGUUCCUUGUAAAUUUCUGUGCUGCUGCUUUUCAAGUUUCAGAAGAAUUGAAGAUUGUCAGUUUCCAUUUGGCCCACCGACCAAAUGCUUAGUAACUUGGUUUUUCAUCUCCAGCUUCAUUUACUGAGAUCAACAGUUCAACAAAUAUUGGGUUCUUCAGAUGAACUGAUGCUAAACAGAAACCUGAAGUUGUUUUGGUAAUUACUCCAGUCGAAAUACUAAAAUCAUUUUGAUUAUGUAGAGCAGAUGAUUUUGCACAAUAUUAUUUUCAGAGAUUUUAGUCAUUAUUGGUCAUUCAUUCAUCAACCUAAUGAACUUGGUUAUGCAAAUCCGUAUGUUCUUUUAAGCCAAAUCAGAGAUCAGCUCUGAUUUGCCUGUCCUAAUUCAACUUUUCUUCUUAUGAUCCUUCUUUUCUUCACCUUUAUAACCAAAAACAUGACUUCUGCUAAAAAUUUGCCAGUACUAAUUCGACAAAAUCUUGACUAGAUCUCUACUGUACAUCAAUCCUGAAGCAGCAGAGGAAUAAUAUUUCUAUCUGGAUUUGGAUGCAAACGUCAGUUGAGCAUGACAGCCUAUUCCCUCUGCAGAGUGCAAGUAGAUUUGGGACAAUACUAUCAAGAUCUUGCUGACCCAGUGGCACUGUUGGAUCCAAGCAUCUCUGCGGCUUGUUUGUAUCGGGUGUUCUCAGUGACACUGUUGAAGGCCUUCAUCCAACAAACUUAGCAGAGCAUACUCGGGAUAUCGUCAAUGGCGGAUCCCCUAUGAAUCGAGUAAAUGCUAUGAAAACCCUUGUCGGCUACAAGAACGAGUGGCAAUCACGUUUACAUUCAAAAGGAAUCGACUACAGAUUUGCCUCCUCCUCUAUCCUGAUUAGCAUUCGGUGGAUUGCUUCUGCAAUCUCGUCCGCUGAUGUACACCGGCAGUCGUCUUCCACCUGCCGAUCAAAACCAAACAGAGCAGGUUCAGAAGAGAUCCGGAAUCGCAGUGAUGUAGAUUGGAGACGAAGAGCUCGAUACACCUUGAGACUGAAGGAGUACAUGACGAUGCGAUCGACGGAGGUGACGUUGAGGUGCAGCGGCACGAGCCGCAAGCUCUGCAGUCCCGCCACCAGCCUGAGCAGCUGCCGGGGCCGCCGCCUCGACAGCAGCUUGAGGUUUGCAUGGCUCUCCAGCAUCGUCACCUCGAUGUUGGCAGUGGCCGUUUGGUUCUCGAUCUCGCCGGUGUUGCGGUAAAAGGCACCAGAGUGGCUGAUACCGUGCCUUUUACCGCUGUUAUCGUCGUUGCCAUUGCCGCCGCCGCCGCCACUGAAGAAAGAGGAGUACUGAGGAAAGCUGAAGAAGCCGGCGAAGGCAGAAGCGACGGCGGCCGCAUCUGUUCGUCGCUUGAGCCGUUUCUCCACCUCCAUCGAACGAAGGAGCUGCUCCAGUUCUUUGACAUAAUUGAUUGCGCCAGCGACAAUCGAAGCUUGAUCACCCUGUGCAUACAAGUGCUAAUUCUCAAGAUUUGCAGAUGAAUUCAUGGUGAUCAGAGGAAAACAUCGUGCUAUUACAUUACCCUUUGGACGUAGAAAGAAGGCAUGAGAGAGCGGAGGACAGCCAGGUACUCGUUCAUUUGCCUCCGGCGGUUGCGCUCCACGGCAAUGUGGGCCAUCCUUUGGCUCUCCACCUCCUCUCUGUUCUUGAUGCUCCUCCCGCAACGCCUCUUCCUCCGCCCCGCCACCUCCAUGGCCUCCCCCACUCCUCCAUGGAGGUUCUGCGCCGAGGAGCACGAGGGAUCACAUUCUUGCACCGCCCCUUUGUCAUCCUCCAUUAGCCCACCCGAGUCACUGCUUCAUGCUCCUCCCUCAGCGGCACGAGGCUCCAUGGAGACACAGCGAAAGAGGUCGUGAGGGAAAGCCACAGCUUCCAAUGCCAUUUCUCUCCACCUGCACACAGCUCCACGGGGAGGACGAGGGUGGCCUUUUAAAGGCACGGGGCGGGUCAGAAGAAAACAAUUGCAGACUUGCCACGUGAGAAGCAGAGGAAGAAGAGUCCGUGUUCUCUCUCUCUCUUUCCUCUUCCUCUACUCUACCCACAGUGAGACGAGUGAUGUGAGUUCAAAGAUCACGGAACAUGAGAGCAUCACCAGCUGAGCUGAGGUAGCAGCAGCAGAGCUUUCCCUUGUCUCUUCCUGACUGCUACCAUCUGCAGCUUCUGAGUCCUGUCACCAAAUUUUCGUAGGUGUAUGAACGAUGCUGCAAAAUGCAUGUGAUCUUUCCAUUAAAUUCAUCCUAAUUAUGAUUAUGGUUUCAAGAUUUUGACGAAAUUAAGUAUACUUAGAUAUAGAGAGAGGGAAAUAAAGUAGAGGCGUGUGCAUCAAUAAAUCUAAUUUAAAUGUUUACAGGUUUUACUAAGAUUAGCUUUCAGCCUAAUCUGCAAUCAAUGAACAGCCAGCUAAAUCAGCGGCAGUGAACAGGGCUGACUGAAUCCAACCAGACACUCGACAAAAUCCAACAUGUUGCCAGCUAAAACACGAGUUUUGUGCAAGUAGAUUCUGCACAUUUGGUUGAAGGGGGAAGAUGACAGCCUCAGCUACUAAUAAUCGCCAUGUUUGCGUGAAUCGAUGGAAGGUUUCAGCCACAGCUUCACAAGCUCAACAGCAUCAACUGGCUUCCUCUGCCAUUUCUCUCCUCCAAAGCCUGCUUGGGAAGAACAACAGAUUGGAGUUAGUAUUCUAUUGGCCACCACGAUCCAUUGGCUAAUUAUUCGCAUACUUAAUUGUCCUGUCGAUUGUCGCCUCUCCGAGGAGAAUGAGAGUUAGAUCGAUCAAGAAAUUUUCACUCUCCUCUUUGUUCUUUUACCUUUGAAGCAGCACGCAGUCGCUUGCAUCUCAUCUCAUCCUCUGUAAUCCAUAAUCAUGAGGCUCUCCAUGAAUGUGUGAUUGCAGAGGGAGCAGACAAGAGCUACGUACCAUAAUCUGCCAUCGUCAUGUCGAAGAAAAAGCUCGGUCGAUUGGAUGCAGCGGAGAGAUUUGUCUCAGACCCUGUCAACUUCAGCUCCAUCCAAAUCCAAAUACCUUCGUCUACAGAAGUUGCCAGUCUUGUUCUUGUGCCUUGUACCAAACAAUGAUAUCUGGGUUGACGAAGCCAUGGAGUGAUCCACGAUAAAAAAAAAAAUACAUUGGUGUUAUCGAGAGUUGAGUAGGGUCGAUGGCAAACAAUGUCGGCAAGAGAAUCUGAGGAUUAAUUUAGUCUGUGGGUUCGUGAAUCGAAUGAAGCAGGAAUAUUGUCGGAGGAGUCAGGGACGUUGGUCAUUUGAUCGAACAGGUGUGUGCUGUUUAUGCCGUGUGUUUGCAUGCGUGAAGGAAGCAAAAGACGAGUGAUGAUGAUCUGUUGCCAACAAAAAAUUUAUAAAAUAAUAUCAAUUUUUUUAUUUUUUAUUUUACCGCAGAACAGUUUUUUUAUUUAUUAUGCUAUUCUUAUUUUUUUAUAAAAGAUAAAAUUAUCUCUACUUUUCAAUUUUACCGAUCGAAGGUACAAAACAGCACAUCAAUUAUCGAUCUUAUCAAUGAUCAAAUGAUCAUUUCAAUUAUUAAUUAAAAAGUAAAAAAAAAGGAUUACCAUAGUCGCACAAUUGAUUUUCUUCUUGCAAACCUCCUUGACAAAACAGUAAUGUUAAGUUGGUCACUUCUUCUUCGUAUCGCUCUUAGGGUGUAAGUCAAAGCUCCUCGAUAAUACAAUAAUGUUAAGUUGAUCAAACCCUAAAAGAUCGAUUUAGGGGAAGAAACCCUAAGAGAAUAAUUUGGGGAAGAAACUAAUCGUACAACUGCCUAAGCCAAUAGCCUCUUUCUUUCAUCUUUUAAUUAACGUCUAAAACGACUAUUUUAUCAUUAGUAAAAUUAAUAUUUUCAUAGGCAUUGUAUCUUUGGUUGAUAAAGCCAACGAUAUUAUUGGGGUUAAUAUUUCGCCUUCAUAAAUAUAAGGAUGUGAACAUAAAUUUUUAAGUCUAGAAACUAAGAUACUAAAUAGGUCUAGCUAUAUUUAUCCCCCGUCAAUUAUUAUCUUAUUAUGGUCGACUCUGCCCCCUUACCAUUGUCCAUCAUCGUCACUCUAUUGCGAGGGCCUAUUGUCUCUGUGUGACCUCCUCCACUUCAUCACUUUCGUCUGAUAUUGUCAAGGCACUAGCUCAAUCUCAUUGGGCUUAUCAUCGGCAAAGAUAAAUAAAAGAGGGAGCCAAUGACAUCGGUGUGGUAAUGUGAGGGCAACAUUAGAGAGGAGAAAAUCAACCCUCUCAUAGUGAAAGGAGAUGAUGGUCUAGAAGAUGACGAUUAAAUCGAUGAUGGCAAAGAUCUCAAGGAGAUCGAGGAGGUAAAGUAAGAUAUUAAGGGGAUCUUCUCGCAUCAUUAUUAUAAGAGGGAGAUAAGAGAGUCGAUAAAAAAGAAGAAGAGAUUAGUAGGUCGGAUCGAAAGAGAUAGAGAUAGGAGGAAGAGAGCAUCUGAGAGGAGGCUGCCAUCGCAUCGCAGUACAACUUUAUGCGUGUUGUUAUACAAGAAGAUGACGAGGUCGUAUUAAGGUAAUAAGACAUGGGACGAAAUCACAUGGCUACUCUCACUGUUUGACGGCACACUAAAAGCUGGAGCACAACAGCUCCAUCUUGAUCAAAAUAUUCGCUUCUGCCAGAAUCAUAUGCUUGUCUCGAUGAACACCACCAAGAAGCAGCAAGAACCAAUGUAUUCAUUCCACCGUGACAUCCCAAAAUGCAUGUGUUUACUACUACUGGUGGGGGGUUUAGCUCAUGCCGGUGGAACGAUUGCCAAGUCCAAACAACCUCCGGUGCAUUAAUUUUUGGAGCAACCACGACAACCAUGCUUGUGGAGCACAAACUUGGUUAGGAGGAAUUCAACUCAUCUCUCUCUCUCUCUCUCUGUGUUUGAUCUGUUCAUUAGGUUGUGAUGUCCUAAUCGGUCUCCUUAAUUGUUCCCAAUCGAUCGCAAACUGCAUUACUUUUUUGACUUUAAGGCGUGAGUUCUGAUCACCGCAAAUGAGAAUAAGAAACCAAAAUUUAGACGAUUUGGGAUCAAUUUUGGAUUUUUUGGAGCUCCUUGACAUCCAUCUGUUAUGCGGUAAGCGCACCCGGAGGUCUUCGUAGUCCUCCUCGUUUUGUUUGUAUUAAAGUUCUGCUCACUCCCCGGUGAUCUUACGAAACCGAGUGUCGGAUGUUUUUGCCACCAUUUUGGAAUUUUUGGAACACUUUGACAUCCUUCCGGUGUGCGGUAAACACACUCCGGUCUCGUGACCCGUGAUAUUCUGCUCACCUUCCGUGAAGGUAAGAAACCGAAAUUUUGCCAAUUUUUUAGCCAUUUAAUAAUUUUUGGACGACUUUGAAGCUCUUCUGGUGUGCGGUAAGUGCACGUGUUAGUUACUGUGACCUUGUUUUAUUAGUAUUAUUAUUAUUGUUAUUAUUAUUAUUAUUAUUAUUAUUAUUAUUAUUAUUAUUUGAAGCGCACGUCCGGCGCGUCAGAUGAGUCUAAAUUCUCGAUCGGGAUUGAGGUCAAACAAAUGUUUCGAAUAAGAAAUCAACACGAAAUCAAAAUCUCAUGAUAUUAUUCUUCCCGACGGUGACAAAUCGAAUAAUAAUUUUUCAUAGACCGAAAUCGAACCAGGAAAUCAUGCAAGCCGAAAUCUAAACCGGACCGAGGAUUUCGGUUCAGUUUUGUCCUGUUUACGGUACUACCGAGUAAAACCUUUUAUGUUUAUACAAAUCUGAUUCGACAAAAGGCUACAUUUUCUGCUACCAUUUAUAUUUCAUUGUGUCAACAGAGCGUCAUCAAAAAUCUUCGAAUAUAAUGUUCACCAAAUCGAUUCAGACAUAAAGCCUCAUCCCAAGACGAACCAAAUCUAAAACAGAUGUUUCUGAUUUUAUGUCGGCACAUCGAACAAGUAGCGUCGCAUAAACAAACCAGAAGUUUGGAAGGGAAACAGAGGUGGAAGAUCGCAAACAGCAACACACCUCAGUUUGGGGCAACAGAGAGACUGUUGCAGGACCCCUAAGCUAACUCAGAUCUUGGACUUCGCAGCAUGUGCCCCUCCACCCCUAUCAAAACCUUUCUUUCAUGAGCACUCUAGGACGCGGAUCGGCAGUUUGAUGACAUGCAAAACAAUUCUAAGCUUUACAUGAUGAGAGAUGAUUAAGUAGCAGUAGAAAGGAUUAAAUUUAGAUUUCUUUGUUAUCGCAUGGCAGAGGCUGAAGAAGAAGACACUACCAGUCAUGGAGACAACCUUUCGAUAUGCCAUACUUCGCCUCCGUUUACUGUCCUGAUUGAGUACCGAAGCCUGUAAAACACAAAAAUGUUAAUUUCAAUUGGCUAAUGCAUAAGCCAUGAAGCAUAACAUAUACUUCCAGAUGCCUCAUCGAACGGGAUGGACCUACCGAUCAUGAAGACGAGAAGGCUGGCCUUGCCAAAAUUCAAACUUGGUUGGUUUCAGUCUGUAGCCUCCCCAGUACUCUGGCAUAGGGAUCAAGCUUCUGGAGAAGCAGAAUACAUAAUGACAGAUUAGGCAGUUUUAGCUUUAACAACAUGGACAUUUCAAUGAUGAGGGUAGAUUGACCGAGUGCAUACUAACAGGGUUUUACAUAAUGCAAAGGCAGGUUAGGCAUAGGGAUCAAGCUUCUGGAGAAGCAGAAUGCAUAAUGCAAAGCAGUUUUAGCUUCAACAACAUUGACAUUUCAAUGGUGAGGGUCGGUUGACCGAAUGCAUAUUAACAGGGUGGAGUACAAAUUCUUCCUGAGUGGCAUAUACGAAAACCAUGGGAGAGAGAGAGCCACAGACUUCUAUCAUGCUAAAAAUAGUAAAGCUGGGAUGAUAGGGUCAGACAACGUACUUGUUCAACAACCAAAAGAAAAUGAUAAGGGAUCACAUGAACCAGUGUUGAAUCAAUUAGAAUCUCUUACAGUCAUGAGUGAGUCCAAUUUAUAAUACAAAAGUCAGAAAAUAAUGAAAAAAAGGAGACCUGAGCAGAAAAAUAGGCAAUAAACUCUGGCCUACAAGCACCAAACAUACAACCUAACCAGACACAAGGCAAUGGCUUCUAGUAAAGGACAGAAUUUUAAAUCCUCAUAUUUACAGUCUUUAUCCACUUCAAACAUGAAAUGAGCACUUUACAAGGUCGAAGAUAUCCUAGUUAAAAAGAAGACUAAAAUUUACAGGGCACAUAUGUGCAGGGUUCUUCAAGGGUAACACCUUCAAAGCUGAAGAAUGAUCAUGUUGACAUAAAAAUCAUGAAGGCUCUCAUCUCUCAAAAAAAAAAGGCGCAUAUAAAAACAGAAAAGAGAUUUCCAAGGAUUCACAAAUAUCUAAAAUACUUCUAUUUGCCUAUCUGUUGAAACAUUAACUAAAACUAACAUGUCAAACCAAAAAAUGAGGUACUUUUGUUAUAGCAUAUAUUAAUCAAGACUGCAUCUUAGAAGUUGGAAUAAUAGACAGGCAUAAAAGGCAUAAGCAUAUAGCAAACUCGUUUAACCUAAUGAAAGAUACUGCUCGAAUAACAGCAUUACCAAAAUGGCAAAAUCAUAUGCAACGGGUACAUGACAGAAACAAACAUACUAUGAUGACAAAACAAAUAUAAAGAGGGGGAAAAUGCAAUGCUAAACAUAUUAACUUAAUGAAAGCUACUGCUCAAAUAACAGCAUUACCAAACUCAUAUGCAACAGGCACAUGACAGAAACAAACAUACUCUGAGGUAAAAACAAAGAUACUCUGACACAAAACAAGGCUUAGUUAAACUAACCCAUCAGCAUAUUCUUCCUCUAGUUUUUUGUACGCUUCAUCAAGCACAUGCCUUCCGAUUACAGUAGUACUCUGAAGAAACCCAUAAAAACAUUUAAGUCUCCACUGACGUGUAUAAAAACAUUUUUAUACAUAGAUAAAAGCAAGACAAACACAUCAGACCUGCUUGCUAGCUAUUGCUCCAAGCUGACUUCCUCGAGGGCGACUAUGGAAAUAUGUCUCGGAUUCCUCCUUAGAAACCUUUUCAACAGUUCCUUCAACUCUAACCUGCAACUUAUAAUACUGACCGCAUCAGACAAAAGUCCCAACCAGAUGGAGAAGCCAAAGAAUGAAUUCUUCUUCACUGUGAAAAUAUAUAUCAACUAAAAAUAUGUUACUCAUAACACACAUCUAAAAUCAAUGAUUAUUAAAAAAUAGUAUCAUUGAUGCAAAACAAUGUAACUAAUAAAGUAAUAAACAAUUCUAAAACCAAUGAUUUUCAGAAAUUCUCUCUGAUACAAAAAGAAUACCAGUAUCGUCACUGGUCGGGCGAUGAGUAUACCAUUCGAUGCUCACAUUUCUUCCAUCCACUUUUUCGCCUUUCUCAACCAAUAUGCUCAUUUCCUCUCUUUUCCAUCAGCAAUAAUAUCAAGCUUAUUUCGUUCUCUUUUUCUCAAAUUUUGUCUUCAAGUUUCUCCCAUUUUAUUAUCGAAAUUCUCAAGAAACAUCACGUUUGUGACUUUUCUUUCAAGCUAUGGUGUGGGUUUCUUGCUAGGAAGCUUGGUUUCUUCUUCAAUUCGAGGAAAAUCUAAACCUAGCCAACUUGUUAUUUGUGUAAGAGUUGUUUCUCACUCAUUUAGAUAUUUUAUGUUUUCGAACAUAAAGUUCUUGUUAAAUUGAGGCUGAAUGCACAUCCAGCAUUGAUCUAUUUGUAUCUAAGUCGAUCCACACUGCAUGGUUCCAAACUAGAUACUUAUGUAUCUGGUCAAGAACCAUGCAAAACUUGUCUAGAACAACAUCCGGCAUAGAUCCACAUGAAUUUGACCCAUGUUCAUGUAGAUCUAGGCAAUAUUUGAGUAGAUUGAACCUAAAUCAGCAUGAAUUUGAUCUAGAUUCAUCAAGUUGAUGCUAGAUCGGUGCUGAUCCAAACAAAAUUUUAUCAUAUAAAAAAACCAUAGCCCUUCAGUUGUACCAAGAUAAUCAAAUUUCCAAAAAAAAAGUUUUGUAAUCUCAUAUGAAAAGUAAUUGUCUCCAUGAAGACAAAGCUAAAUACCCCAAGAGAGAGCAAUAACCUGACGAUUAAGAGGAUUCCAGUAGAAAAGAAGUGAAGCAUGAGGAUUUUCAGACAAUUCCUUGGCCUUUUGGCUCCCAUAAUUGGUAAACCUAAAUUAGCAAAACAAACAUGCUUAUGUAAAACCAUCUCAUGGAAAGAAAUAUAAACUAUAUGCUUUGUUAAUGAAUAUGAAAAUUCAACUCAGCAGUCAGUUGCAGAAUUAGUCAAACAUCACUAACCAGACAAACCCCUGUUUGUCAGCUCCUUUUAGCAGGACUAUCCGUGAUGAACUGCAGAAAAGAUAAUUCAAGUUUUGGAAUAUACACCAAAAGUCUAACAUGUUGUGAAUCUGAUUUCAUGAAGAAAAGGCUCAAAAAGAAUACACACGGUUUUCCUUCAUGGCCAGAAGUUGACAAGGCCAUAGCAUUUGGCUCACGCAAGCCAGCAGCAACUGCUUCAUCAAACCAUUUAUGGAACUAGCAUAUGGUCAUGGUAGAAUGUUAUUCAAAGUUAAAAGAUAAAUACACCUGAUCCAACUAUUUCAGAUUUAUUAUCGUUUCACCUUGAAGAGAAUGAGUGGUUUCAGCAGCCAAGGAGCAGAUUGAAAUACAUAAGAAAUCAUAUAAUAGAUCCAGUUGAAAACAAAGAAAAUAUACCUGAUCUACAGGGUGAGACAGCACCUGGUCCUCAAGAAGUUCAGGAGAAAUAUAGUUCUCCCUCAGUGAUGCAAUGUCAACAGAUGGGGGUUUUCCAAUUCUCACACACAUUGAAGUGCCUGGAUACUGAGGAAGCUUAAGUUUGUACUUACUGAUGAUAGACGGAGGAACAAAUCUGCCCCCAAGAAAGUGAUGUGGGCCGACAAAUUUUUUAGCACAGAGCUUUGGAGCAGUUAAUGAAACCUAGAUAUAAAAAGUAAAUUCAGAUGUAAGUUAUUUCAGAAUAAUAACAAAGAUGUGUGCGUACAAAAUCCACCAUCAGAUACUAUUAUGUACAAGAACAAACCAAAUUCAAUUUAGACAGAUACCAGCAUGUCAGGUUCAAAGCCUUCACCAGUGAUAUCUCCUUCCUCAACAUGCCAACCGGAAGGAAUAUCAACAGAAACAAUUGCUGAUGAUCUCUUGCGUCCACAGUCAACACGACUUAGAGAAGCAAGCCUCUGAAUAAGAUCAUCAAAGGGUGGCCUUGGUUGACCUACAUACACAUUCAUUAUUGUUAACAUCUAAAGAAACAAGUAGUUAACUAAAACCAAGUUUAUGGAUGCAUUACUUUUAUGUAAUAAGCAUUUCAAUUUUUCGUCUUGGUUAAGAUCACAAUAAUCUACUUACAAUGCAACUAUGUAGAAUAUCUUGGCACCAUCAUAAGAAUAGGUUGCAGAAAAAAAUCUAUUCUUACAUGUCUUUGAAUUACUUCGAAGUAUCUUGAUGAAAUUAAACCAUCCAAGUAAAAUUCUGUAAGACAGAAUAAAGAGACUAUUGGAAAAAAGCCAAAGAAGCUUAUUCAGUGAUCUUGUUUGUUUGGAAUAAAAAAAAACAAUUGGUCAUAUGAACCAAAUGAAUCAAGAAAAUCAAUUACAUACAGUUUGCUUCAGCCAAAUACACAAUACCUACAUUUUUAGAAUCUCCCUAAUAAACAUCAUACAAGAGCAGGGACUAAAAGAUAUGUGUAAGCACUUAAUGCAAGGAUGUGAAACUAACCAAAUUUUAGAAAAAGUUAUAAUUCACAUUAACUAAUGUUGAAUAUGGAGCAAUAAGAAAAAGUAUUCAAGCAUUUUGUCUGCGACAAUUAAUGCGUGGAAACAUAAACUUGAUAAGAAUCUUCAGCCCAUCUAGCAGUGCCUUGAUUUUGGGUUCUUCUACAUAUAAAAAAAUGAAAAUAUAAUAUUUCUUUCCAGGUUUCUUUUUGUUUUACUGAAAGCACAUUUAAUGGUGACACUUUUGGUUCAUCCUAGAGACCCAUCAGAAGAUCAAGUAAAGAUUGUCGAGCAAUCAUGGGCCUAGCAGUAAUUGUCAGACGAUUACAAAGCUUAGAACGGUGAAAGCUCUUAAAGUACAGGUUUUCCUCCAAAAGAACAGAAAUAAAAAUAAAGUAAUAAAACUUAAUUUCUACAGUUUUAAAUUCUAGAGAGCUUUGUUCGUGUCAGACCAUUGACCCAAUAUCAAAGUGGGGACAUUUGUUGUGUUCUGGAACGGAUGCUCAUAUGUGGAGUUCCAUGCCGAUACUGGGCAUGGAAGUGAAAAUUUAGACCAUGAUGUAUCCUACAUUAGUAUACAACAUUAUCCUCUUUCAAAAACAGAAGCACAAAACAAAUUAAUGCCAAAUAGGCACUUGAGUUACCAUGAAAUGAAAAUCCAAACAUCGCAUCAACAAUGAGGUCAAAAUUUUCCGUUAAGUUCUGAGGUAAGUCAUCAACAGAAAUGAAAGAAAUCGAUAGUGAUUCCAACUGCAAAAUAACAUAAAAUAGUUAGUGACUCUAAUCAAAUGAGAAUAACUGGAAAAGAAAAGGAAAUGAGCCAUACCUGAGUAACAAGGCCAUUAUAGAGAGGCUUCGGCGUACGCUUUGGAUAACAUAUAAAGGGUUCAUAUCCAAAAUGAUGUAGAUGACGAGCAGCUACAAGACCAUCACCACCAUUAUUUCCUGGACCACAGAUAGCAAGGACGCGUCUAUAUUCACUUGAUUUAUAGACCUAUUAAAAACCAUAAACAUCUUAUUUUAACUUUGCAAAAGCAUUGAGAUAUACAGAUUUUGAGAUCCAAUAAUAAACAAUCAUGAGAUCCUUCACAGUUGACGAAAAAGAUUAAGCAUUGAUAUCUACAAUAUCAAUUAAUACAAAAGGAUCCAUGGCCCACAGUAAUAUUCUUUCCCUCUUGACAUAACGAUUGAAUGAAACAUUAUUAGAAAAUUUAAUUUCCCGAUAAAGGUGGCCCGAUUCAUCAUGAUCUUACUGGCAAUGAGUAUAAAAUAGCCCCUCAUGACAUAUUAGCUUAAUUGUGAAAGUUCAGCUGGAGAAGUAAUCGUGGAACUGAUAAUCCGAUAAGAUGUCUUUGUAAAUGCAUCCACUAAAUCCACUGAAAUUAUAGCCUGUUCAGGAUUAUUGACAUUUACAUGAUCUUUCUGCUCAACAUGAUUCCCACCACAAUAAUCACCCAAACAGGAGAUGCUCAUAAUCCAUCUACAAAUAUCAAAAACAUUUAAGCUUUAACACAACAAAUUUGUUUAAUGGACUCAGUAGGUUUUCAAUCUAACAUGCCUUCUUAAAAAUGUGAUAUUACCCCUAUGAUUUUCAAACUACAAACACAUAUUUAGCUUUUACCAUCAGUAAGUUAUCAUGGAACCACCGUCCAGGUAAUCAACACAACUUGUCCGACCAGGGACAUGUCCACACCACUAAUCCUUUAUUAAAAAACUGCUGCACGAAAAUCUUCAUAUUACCAGUGUUGUUACUCGUGCAAAAGAAUUUGACAAAUCAGGAUAUAAUAAUAAAGGAUUAAGUUUUAAAAUGGAUUCCAAUAUUAGAAUUCUCCACCACAAUUACCUUAUAUUAGAAAAUUUAGAGGCAAAUCCAGCGUCAUAUUUGUUGCACAACUCAAUGAUCUAAUGGCAAAAUGAAAUUUCCAUGGAUAAGGCAGUGAAUAUCAUAAAAACUAUUGAUUGUGCGAAUUUUAAUAAUAUAAUUUGUAAUUUUGUCUUGACACAUAAAUAUAAAGGACUGUGAUUCUAUAUCUUCAGCUGAAGCAUCAUAAAACAUAUCUGUAAAGGAGGCUGAAAAGUUGGAUCAUCUAUAUCAUGUAGCCACCUAUAGCGGGUGUAUCUUCUUAAAAUACUUAGGUCAAGGUCACUGCUACUCCUAUUUAAGGUUAUUAUUUCCUGUAGGCAACUCUAAGGACUAAAGUUUAUGUUGCUAAUACGAGGAAAACCAUAGAAAAUGGAUAUACCUGAUUAUCAGCUUGAUAUCCUUUUCAGGUUUCUUUUAGAGUUUCUUGUACUCGUUUAUGCUGCCAAAAGUCAUCAAAACUACUUGUUUCUUCCUCAAGCUUCUGUGAACACUGUUACUUGUUUCUUACCAAUAUUUGCUAAUUGUCAUGCAGAAGCUCUCUACAACAGCAUGAUGAUCAGAGUAUCACCCAUAAACCGUACUAGAUAUUUGCAAAAGUUUUUUUUCCCAACUACAAAAUGGACAAGUAGUGAGCAUGCCAUAUUGAAAGACUGCUGAUUACUCUUUUUGGACAGUGAAACAUCCGUUUUUUAACUUUGUGAUCAUUAUUCCAUCUACCACAUAAAACAGAAUGGCUAGGAUCAAAAACUGUACUAGAGAUCCUUCAAUCAAUUUGAAGUAUCCGCUAACAUCUUUCAGAGUCCACAUGUUUUUCAAAUCAGAGGUGGGCAACGUGAAUUUGCGAUGCACAAUAAGUGAAGAAACCAUAUUUCUCCAUUGGCUUGAACCAAAAGUUAUGAAUUUGAGCUUCAAACAAUGUUAAAUUUUAGUAUUUUACAGUACAAGAAGUUCAUGCAGAACCCAAGACGGAAAAUGCACAAACAACACAAAGAAUGACUAACUCCAUUAAUAUGACCCCUGUGAGCAUUUCAGUGACACAGAACAAGAAGGGCUUAAGAGAACCAAAAUUACCUCCGAUAUAGCCGCGGCCACGCUCAAUCCCGCCAAUUCCUGCCAGAUGAAGAACAUCUCAAUCAAAAUCAAAUUAGAGGAGGAAGGGAACUUGAGAAUGCGAGAAGAAAAGAUGAAAGCACCAUCAGCUGAUCGACGCUGAACCCCAGAGGUCCCAUGAGGAUCUCAUCGAUCUCCGCCGCCUCUCGCUGGGUAAGAUAUGACACGGCUUGGUCCUCCAUCGAUCCCGUGGAGGAGAGAGCGCGGGCGAGAGGCGAGGAGGGCGGAGAUGACGCGUAGCAGAUCGACCCCGGUCCUCUUCUCGAACCCCAGAAAGGAUAGGCGGGGCAAACUGACAACGGGCGGCGAAGGGGAUUGGGGAAAGGAAUCGGGACGGCGGCGGCAGCUGAGGAGGAAGAUAGGGUGGGAGCGAAGAGGAGCGAAGAGAGGAGGAGAAAGGAUGGCAUACCACGGUGCUUGGCCCGAGGUAACAUAUCUUAUGUUGCGACGACGACACAGUAAAGCCAUUCUUUUCUCCUCGUCAAUUUGGGCUCGUUCAUGAACUCAUAUCGGAUUAAUUAAGCCCACUGGGCCAUUUUCCAGCCCAACUCUAAUUGGGUUCGGUUCAUGUUAGAUCGAGUAUUGAUUGAUAUUGUGAGAACAAAAACGUAACUCCAUGGGAUUCCGAAGGUAAGGUAUGUUUAAUUAUUCAUUUUUAUCCAUAUUAUUACCUAUGUUUCAGAUUAUUUAUAUAUCAAAAAAUUAAGAUAAAUAUUACAUUAGCAUUUAUUAAAAGAGAGAAAAACUAAGGUUGAAUUUUUCGAAAAAAAAAAAUAUUUUUGUUUAGGUGUUUCUCAGUAAGUAGGAAGGGGUAGUAGUACUAUAUCUAUUUAUCAUAAUAUUUAUCAUAAUCGUAAAAAAAAAUCUAUUUAUCAUAAUACUUGCCUAAGGAUAAUUUUGAGAUAUAAUAAUUUUGGGAUUUUGAGAUGGAGUGAAGAGUCAAAGUUUGACCGGGACCAUCUCUUCCAGCUUGAUGGAACCCCGAGGCCGCAGUCAGUGUCCACAAGCUGCUCAUCCCGCAGUUGGGUCGGCUGUUGAACACCAUUAAGCUGCUCACGGGGCAAUAAAUCGCAUCGGACACUCUCCAUCGUCGCCCUCUCACCGACUUGUCUGUCAUUUUCCUCCGACCUCGAAGCUGAUUGACGCACACUUACAGAUGACACAUCUGUUCCAUAAAAUUACUCACCGCUUGUCUCAUCCUUCUUCGGCCUUACUGUUGUCUCAUCUAAUGCGAGCACUUUGUGAAUCUGUUUCUCCUACCUACAUCAGGCCUGAAUCAGUCUCUUGUCUUCACCUACCCAUCUCAAAAGCCAAACCUUGGCCGAUUACCCAACUGAGACCAUGAAACUUGUUUGUGUCUCUGCUUUAACUCUAGCAGUGUCCCGGGACCGGUAAUGUAUCUGAACAUCGAGGCGCUCAUCGGUGUUCGAUCCUGGUAGCUAUGCAUUAGUUGUUGAUGUGCGUGACUCCCAUAAAAUUUCGGUCCCCAGGCAAUUGGUGGACGAUCUGUUGCAUAUGAGACUGUCGAUCGCAGAUGGGAGGUUUGCCAACCUGGAGUGACCACUUCGGUACAACAGGAUGAUUACCUCCUGGUUCUUCUUCCUCUGCACCGAAGUUGUUGAGGUGGUAUAAAUCGGUUUAAGUGUUCCGGUCAGUGGAUCUAUAUCUGAAGUCAGACCACCAUUCAGAUGUGUUCUUCCAGUCUCCAAGAACAUUACUUGAUGAGGCUCACUUGCUGUUGGUCUCUGAUGAGCUACUAUGAUUAAGAUUUCAACGUCUCUCAGCACAACAAGUGACGUCUUACUGCAUCGAAGUAGUCCCAUCCUCGAGCAUGAGUGUUUGCCGAUGACUUACCUCUGCUGAGACAGCAUGUUAGGUGGGACUUGAAACAGCGAAAAGAUUCUUCGAGCUAAUCUCUUGUUUACAUUGUUUCAUGUUAUGGUGGCAUCAGACAGAGUGCAGCAGAAUUGGAAAAGAUAUACCCCAAACAGAACAGAUUCAGAUCCAUGUUACAGUUCAAAUUCUAUACUGACAUCUGUUGCUCUCAUGCAUCUAAUUCCAAAUAUGCUGAGCAUCUGUCAGGCUUAGCCUGUUGUAUUCCGAGAAGGGAUUGGCCUCCUGUACUUGAAAACCUCUCCAAACAAUUUGGAAGAGACAAUACCAACUUCAGCUUAUUGCCAAAUUGUUUCUCUCGAACUCUAUCUGAAGUUUAGAUGCUUUGAUCCACGUCUUCAAAUCUCUUAAUUCCACAAAUUUAAGCUUUGGCCUUCACAUAACCCUCCUCAGUUCCAUGCUUCAGAAAAUCUACGGUGACACUGCUAUCCUAAUAUUCACAAAAAUCACUUUUUUUUGGUGGUUUGUUUGUUGCAUUAAUUCACAGUUCAAAGUCACAAUAGUAUUACUUUCAAAGGUACACAAAAGGCCUCCCUGUAUUUAUGAAGCUGUCUCCCUCUGCCACAAGACAGUUCCCUACGAAAUUGCACACCAGUUUCCAUUUCCCAGAGAUCAAUGAAGUAGUAAUUUCUCUAUGGUCUCUUUCGUGGACUUCCAAAGGACCAAAUUUUCUCUUGCAUGUCUCCGAAGAAACUUGCUCAGCUUUUGUCAAUGGCCAAAAGAUGGAGGCUUGUCGUUACAGUAUUAGCAUACAUAGGCUCACAUGUCAGCAGACCUGCAAGCAAAAGAGCAUGGAAAAUGGAGGGCCAUUAAUCAUAAAUAGUUAAACGAAAUUUGCUGCAGAAGACGCCAUGGCAGAUUCUUCAAUGGGGGAAACUAAGCCAGUUGACUGUUGUCUAUAGGCAUAAAUACAAAGUCAUCUCAUAUGUAUAUUUUUAGGACAAGAAAGCACAAAGGAUAUUCCUCUCCAUAUCGAGCUGAUGAUCAUGUUCACGUGAAAGAGUCAUUGCAUUUCGUUUAUGGGGGAACGACGAGGACAUGACAGUGCUGCGAACAUUGUGUGCAUGAUGUUCCAAGUCCUGCUAAAAAGUUCACAGAUCCCAACACAUGAUACUCCAAGAGGCACAGAAUUGGGUCUUGGGCAAUGCUCAAUCCAUGUUUACAUAUGAUGAUGGAGUUUGAAGAAGGUAAAUCCCAUCAAAUGACACACUGUUUUGAUAAUAUUUUGCUAAAACCUGAAACUUCAAAGGGAGGCUCCCACCACUCUUCCCUAUAAAUUCUUGUCUGCAUGUUUCCAUUCCAAGAUUGCCACUGAACAAUGGGCUCUUCAUCUACAUAUCGUGGGGUCAGCAAAUUCCAGAGUCUAAGCAGACAAGCAGUCAAACUUUGGAAGGACAUGGCAGAAAAAGCACAAAUACAUGAAGAAUCAAUGGAUGAGAUAGAUAGAUAUAUGCUGCCUGAUUGUGCUUUUAUAUGCAGAUCUACUUGCAGUUUGUUUCUGUUUUCUCUGGAGUAAUCCAUCCUCUUUGGAUCACAAAUAAUUGAACUUUUGUUUAGCAAUCUGUACUUCUCACACAAAAUAAUAGCUUCAAUCUGAUCUGUCAUUACAUGCUGCACACCAUUAUAUUAUGCUUGAAAAAUUUUUGAUCUGGUUAAUUGCAUUCAAAUCAUAAGCAUGAGUUGAUGAAGUAGGCCAACUGACUUAUUCUCAUUUUCUCCUCUGUUAAAUUUCAAGUCAACCACAUACUUCAGCUCAUCCUGGCCACACUUAAGUCUCUUCAGAAACAAAAUUAAUUGGAUUUGGCAAAAACUAUCAAACAGGUGAACGCUCAUGAAGUUGAUGGUCUGUUCAGUUUCCUCUUUUUGGCAGCUGGAGAGGAGUGAAGAAGACAGUUUCCAUGUGAUUCAACUGCUAGAUCAUCACUCUCAUCACUCAGGCAUGCAGCAUCCAGUACCCCAAUCGGGCUCUUUGGCACAGCAGAUAUCGAUGGACUGGUGUUCCUGUUUGUCCUGUUCUUCAUCGAUGUCAUCUCUUGAAUCACUCGAUGACACUUGAAGACCCUUUCCUGAAUUCAUUGUGCAAACCAAUUAGGUCCUUGGAAACAAAUAGCAUUUUAUUGAUGAAGUAGUGUGUAACAUUUGGUCAAUCUUACCUUAUUUACAUGGAUGCAGCGAGCUAAAGCCUGGUCAAGAUCCAGAAUUUGGGUAUCCUUCAAGACUGACAGUGCCACUGCUGCAGCAAUCUCAGAAGGCCUGUACUCUAGGAAAUCAAUCUCUGCAAUCAAGUUACAGUCACAGUCAUGUUAGGCCUUUUUAUCCAAUCUAACUCUCCCUAGAUUAUGGGUACAUCACUCUAAAUCACUGACCUCUAACAGUGCCCAAAAUGAGGUCCACAGAAGAAGAAGUUAACAAGCUAUCUGGCAAAUUUCCAUCACUAAAUUUGUACAGAAAAUAACCGAUGAACGAGAAAGGUGUCAGGGCUUGCAUCCUCCACUUGAGGGUGCCAAGAACUAGAAGCUCCAUUCUGUGUAUAGUCCUGGCUUCAAAUACAUGGUUUGCAUCACCUACCUGUUUGUUUGUCCACAACGAAAAAUGUAGAUUUCAUUGAUCAGUAAUGGGAUCUUAUAAUCCAAGAUGAAAUUUGAUAUACAUAACUAUUUUGGUUUCUCUAUUUCUUAAACCUGUAAUUCCAGAGAUAAAGGGACCUCGGUUUCCUCCACCUUGGCAGCAAGAGAUAGGCAGGCCACUGAUAGUAACUGCGGUAUCCAAGCCUUACCUUGCUGAAACUAGAGAAAUCGAAACACCGGUACAUCAGCAAAGCCAUACAUUUCCGCACUAUGUGGCUAACAUUGCUACAUGCAUCACAUUAAAGAAGUAGGUGUCAUAGUAUUUUCCUCUUACCGGGAGUUCGUAAGAGGAGAGAAAUCGAUCCAGGUAAUUUAUAGAGAGAUAAGCAGUGAGAGGCCCAAAAUUGUGAUGUGCAUGAACCUGAUCAUUGAGAAAAAAGUGAUAAAUUGUCACAGGGUAAAUGAAGGAAGAUAAUAACAUAAAAAAGAAAGCUAAAUUAUAUCUCCAUCAUCAAGAGCAUGCAGAGUGGGGAAAGAUAAGAUGAAUUGAUUUCCCUGCGCAUCCCCGGACUGAAAGGAGAAGAAAAACUAAAGAGUAAACUCUAAUCACAUCGAUCAGUGGUUUCAGAGAUCAAAUGCCCAUCCACUGAAGACUCAUAAGAGGAAGAACGGGAUCCAGGGAAAACAUCAGAGGGAACAAAGAAGUGGUAAAGCAGAGGGAAACUCGACCCACCUUUUGGAUCCAGUCAAUGGCAUCACUCCUGGCAACCAUGUCUAAUUGCCCCCUCAGCAACCUCUCGGCGUAGUCACCCUGUGGGCGAUGCUGGGACUCCCUCUCGACCAGCUCGACAACACAGUCCUCCGACUGCAAGGUGAAGUCCAUCAAAAUGGCCCCACAAAAGCCACUCUUUUUGUCGGGAGAUUGGCAAAGGUCACGCCUUUGGGCUUCCCCAUGCAAGUCCUGCUCCUCCCCCUCCCCAUCAUCGAAUCCCAGGAUGCUGCUGCUAUCCUCUGGACAGAGGAGGAUGGAGGAAGCAUACUUGUAGCUAAGGCCCAUUGCGGAUGAAUCAAAAGCAGUGGAUAUUAAGACAGAUUGAUGCUUUUCUUCUCUUCCUCCCUAAAAAAUGGUGUCUUUAGAUAUAGAACGAGAAGAUGAUAGUAUGAAGAGGGUGGGAAGGGGCUCUCUGUGAGGUCUUGGUGGUGAGGAUGAGAGAAGAUGUGAGAGGGUCUGAAGCAACAAUGCAGAAGGGGAGAAUAGAGGAGUACAAAGAAGAAGCUCUCUUUGAGGGUGGUUUAUAUACGAGGAUGGAUUUUGGCUUGUAGCUUCGUCCACGUAAAUGAUGACGUCAUGAUAUGGUCUGCAAGGCAUCAAAUGAAGAGAGAGAGAGAGAGAGAGAGAGAGAGAGAGAGAGAGAGAGAGAGAGAGAGAGACUGUGAUCUGACUUGAUAGAUUCUACUAGGGUGGAGGUGGUAAGCACAUAAAAAGGCAUGGUUUGGUGAGACGUGGUUUUGAUUCCUCCCCACAUUUCUUUCUCUCUCCUUUCAUCGAUUGUACUAACACUUUUGUAUUUUUUUUAAGUAAUAUUUUAUUUGUUUGAAGGUUUCAAAUCAAAUAUAUAUAUAUAUAUAUAUAUAUAUAAUCUCGAAUUUUUCAUGAAAUCAACACGAGUCAAUUUGCUCAACCUAAUCUACUCGACUUAGAUUGAUUUGACUAAUCAUUUUAUUGAGCUCUAUGGAGAUCCAGUAUGGUGAUAGUGACAAAACGGAAGAGCACAAUCAAUUAUAAUGUCAUGUUAUAGUGCAUCAAGUAAGUAAUGAUGGCUUUGGACUCGAUCCUUCUAACGCUAAACUAUUAGAAUUAAUUUGGAUUAUUUGAGUAGCAAGCCAACUGAUUUUUUUUUUUUUUUAUCGAUCUUAACCCUACAAAACUAAGUCGAGGGGGUGAUAUUAACAACACCCAUAUGAUACUCAAGUUAAUAUUAGUUUUGAAUAAGUCAAUCUAGUUACCCAUUUUACAGUGAAGUUUGGGGCCGUUACAUCAUAUGUUUAGGAUAUUUAUGGCCAUUGAUUGUAAUUGCUGAUAAUAGACAUUUGACCUUAACACAUGUAAGCUAAUAAUGCAUCCAUAAGGAGAUAGUAGUUGUUUCUUAGAAAGCAUGAACAAACGAAGCAUAUCAAAUCAAACAUGACAUACUCUAUCAAAUCCAAUACACUACCUAUUACCGAUGCGGUAGAAGACCGAGAUAGCUGAUCUCAAUUGUUCUUAUAUACUAUCAAUAAUUACAUUUGAUUUAAUUAAUCAUUUGAAUAUGAUGUCAAUGUUCAUUAUCGAUCUUCAAUCAAAUAAAUGAUCACGGAUUAAUCUCGAGGAUAACACAAAUUUAUCUUUAUAAUCAUCAUGAAAGUCAAAGAUCACAAAGAGAGAAAACAACAAUAACAAUCACAAUUAAUCUUCAACUAGUGAGUGUAAUCAAUUAGGAACCAACAAUAACCACACCAAUAUUAGACCUUUUCUGAUGCCUGAGUUAAUAAGUUCUGCAGGUAGUAGUAAGUAGUGAGAGAUGAAAGAAGAGACCUCCCAUCUAUAGUAUUUGGUCACCAAUAUUUGAAUCAUUCUCAUAUUUUCCAUCGUGAUCUUUUUCUUCUUCUUCUUCUUCUUCUCUCGGAGAGUUGAUAGUUUUCAUGAGCAUAAAAUGAAACCGAUCGGAUGACAAAUAACUCGAGCGACAAAUCCUCACAAGAUUAUUCUAUACUACAAGAACAGUACACGAUCUACUAAAUCUAUGAUGAUGCAUAGAAACCUUUACUUGCCUAAAUUAGAGACUCUUACAAAAAAAACUUUCUUUGUUACUUCAAAUUAUAAACCAUGAUUUUUCUAGCACUUUCCCCAUAAACAACAUAAUGAGUUGUAUAGAUCAGUCGGCAGUCAUGUCAACAGGAUAAGCUUGUCCGACUAGGUUGUGUGUUUUGCAGCUCAUCCACGAAGGAUGACUGCUAUUCCUUUGUCCAAUUGAGUGGCCUUCCAUAUAUUCUUUUCACGAUAUCGUACAUUAAACUUGGCUUGGAUUUCUUAAACGUGGUCGAUAACUCAAUGCAACAACGUUGCUUGUAUUAGACGCAACAUCUUUGACUCUACUGUGCAAGUUGCAACGACGAUAAAGUUACUAGUUGGUCCACUCCGACUUUGUGCAAGUCAAUUACGAGCAAGAUCGUUUGGUAGGUCAUGACGAGCAAGCUAAGAACUCAUGAUCACGUUGCUCUACUUUCACUUUGACUUACUGCAUUUCUGCUCCUAUAACAGGAUUAGAGAUAGAUCAAGAACAAGAAGCAAAAGAGAUGAGUUUGCUAGCUUUAAAGUCUAUCUAAAUAGUGAUGGUAAUUUGCGGUGUACUAUUUGGUAAGUUGUACUGUGAGGAGAGAAACGAAAGGAAACAAGUGCUUUGUUUAUCCUCACAAUCAAUUCUCCUAUUUCUUCCAUGGCUUUCUCCAUAGUUGAGACGUGAUCGAGACACUCAGUCACACAAUUCUGGGGUGGGUCACCCACUGCUGUUCCUAGUGAGAGCGGCCGAAUUAAAGCGCCCGUGUUUGACUCCUCCACGCCCUCCUCCACAUUACAAUUAACCGAGGAAGGAAAUCGAUCUCUUGUUGAGUGGUCAAUUCAAUCCACGUUACUGUUGCUGCGAUUCAUGUGGAUGACAAUGUCUUGAAGUGAAUUACUCACUCCAGCUACUCGGAAAACAACUAUCCGACUUCUUUCGAUGAGUAUUCUAGCAUACGACUCCCUCUUCUUCUUCUUCCUCUUCUUCUUCUUCUUCUUACCUGCAGUGAAGGUUGCAAAACUAUCACAUGGGAUGGGAUGGCAGAUACCCAACCGAAGAGACAGAUCCUCACAAGACUAUCCUAUACUCCAAGAUCCAUUAAAUCUAUACGUGAUGAUGUAAUAGAAACUCGUAGUUAAUGGCUUGUAGACAACACUUCCCGUGCAUGAGUUGUAUAGAUUAGACAGUCAUGUCAACAGGAUAAGCUCGUCUGACCAGGUAUCGAGCUUACAGCUCUUCCUCAAAGAAUGACUGCUAUUCCUUGUCCAUCGACGUGCGUGCCGACUACAUGUUCUCUCCACAUCUCGCAUACAAUUGCAUCUAACAUAUUUAAAACUUAGCCAAUAUCUAAAUCCAACAAGUUGCUCGUAUUCAGCAUGUGCUGCACAGUUGCACCUUCCAUCCGCAUCCUCGACGCUGUGCAAGCCGCAACAACGAGAAAGACGAGAGUCGGUCCACCAAUCAUGAAAGAUUCCUUCGAAUUUAAUUCGGAUUAGAUAUGUUUAGGUCCAAGAUGGCAGGAAGGUCAUUAAGCUGGGGCUACGAUUUUUGCUUGCAGACUCUACCAUCCUUCAAUCAUAUUAGAGAUAGAAAACAGCAAACCGGAUGAGUAUUUGUAAGUCAACGAGAACAAUGGGAAUCUAAAUAGGAUACCCGACGAUAUUUCCCGAGCAACAAUAAGAUUGGCUGAUCUGUCAUCACAAAUUAACAAGAUUUGGACAGCUACGGAAGACUUGGUCAGGAAAUCAUUCAAGUUUGUAGUAUCCUGCCUUGCAUAUGUUUCGGGCUCAAGUGUUCUUUAAAUUGACUUACUCCAAGUCGGAGUUGGUGUUACAUCCUCCUCUUGAUUGUCUAUAUAUAUAGAUAUAUCCGUGAUAUAACCAAUGCAAAUUGCUAACCCAAGAAUCUUGUUCUCGUAUUGACUCCGACAACGCCAUGGCCAGCGACCAGACACCUCCGGCCACCGCCGACGCCCCGAUCUCAACCCCUCCGCCGUCUUUCGGGAAGCGGGUCACCGUUCUCUGCAUCGAUGGAGGCGGGGUGCGAGGAUUGAUCCCCGCCACCAUCAUCGCCUUCCUCGAAGCCGAGCUCCAAGUAAGCACGGUGACCUGGUUUUCAGUGUGGCUUUCGGCGACUACAAGCUGCUCCAACUUAAAUUCUGUUUUGUUCUUGGUGCUGUUGCAGAAGCUGGAUGGACCGGAGGCGAGGAUAGCAGACUACUUCGAUGUGAUCGCCGGAACCAGCACCGGCGGCCUCGUGACCGCCAUGCUUACAGCUCCUAACAAGGAGAAGAGGCCUCUGUUUGCUGCCAAGGACAUCGUCCAGUUCUAUCUGGACAACAGCCCCAAGAUUUUUCCUCAGAAGAAGUUAGUAUUCCAUCGUAACACCAUCGAUGGUGGCACUAGUUUGCAUGCAUGCAUUGAUGGAUGGAAGACGGAGUCAUGAUAAAGCUAUUGUGAUCAUCGAUUCUGUCUAUUGCAUCCAAAACAUCAAUUACUUGCUGCUACAUGAUUGUUAAUCACAAGGAGCAUACGAUUAAGACUGAUACAGAUUUGGUUGCAGUGCUGGUUUGUUCAACUCGGCACUGAACCUUGUAGGUGCCGUCUCUGGACCCAAGUACGAUGGCAAGUAUCUCCACGCCAUAAUCCGACAACUGUUGGGCGACACAAGACUUAGUCAAACAUUAACCAACGUCGUCAUCCCUACCUUCGACAUCAAGUUUUUGCAGCCCACCAUCUUCUCCACGUACCAGGUACUGUUAACUCUCCGUCCGAACCAGCAGCCGCUUUCGGGUUCACUAAUCAUGAGUGGCUCGUUUCAUCCGUAAACGCAGACAAAGAGUACACCAUUGAAGGACGCUCUUCUGUCGGACAUAUGCAUCGGCACAUCUGCAGCACCAACCUAUCUUCCUGGACAUUAUUUUGAGACCAAAGAUGAUAACGGGAAUAAGAGGAGCUUCAAUCUCGUCGAUGGUGGUGUGGCGGCAAACAAUCCAGUAAGUUUAGACACCUAAAUCGUAUGUCUAUCUUGUCAUCAUUGUACUGACAUACGGGACGACAGACUUUGACAGCCAUGACGGAAGUCUCCAAGGAGAUCCUCCUGAGCAAUCCAGAUUUCUUCUCGUACCAGCCGGUGGAGUAUGAUAGGUUUUUGGUCAUCUCUCUGGGAACGGGAGCACCCAAGCAAGAGGAGAAGUUUACCGCUCAGGAGAGUGCAAAGUGGGGCGUGCUCGGGUGGUUGUUGAACAAGGGCACGACUCCUUUGAUCGAUAUUUUUACUCAGGCGAGCGCAGACAUGGUGGACAUCCACGCAUCCGUCCUUUUCCAAGCCCUCAACAAAGGGAAGAACUACCUACGCAUAGAGGUAACGCAUCACCACCACCAACCUUCGAAGGCUGUAACGGAGGAAUCAUGUGAAUCGAGUUUCUAAUGUUCACGUGAACAGGAUGAUACUUUGACCGGACAAACAUCAUCGGUGGACGUCUCGACGAAGAAGAACUUGCAAGAUCUGGUUGACAUCGGCAAUAGCCUCCUCAAGAAGCCGGUGUCGAGGGUGAACAUAGAGACGGGUCAUUCCGAGGCGGUGGACGGGGAGGGAACCAACGAGGCCGCUCUUACUGGCUUCGCCAAGAAGCUGUCGGACGAGAAGCGGCGCAGGCAAUCCAAACAACUUACUUCUUCCGACGCCACGCAGCACUAGUCUCGGUCGUAUGUUUGCGUUCAAUAACCUCGGUCGUAUUUGUGUGUUCAAUAAUCUCCAUGAGAAAUCCAUUCUUGAAU